AUAGUCUGGUUUCUCUUCAGAUUACUUAAAUCUUUUGCCUUUUCCUAAAGAUUUCCAUGGAGAGGUACAGAAAAGAGUUUUUACCCAAUUUUAGAGGUCUUGUUUUUAUAAGGC